rnacentral:rRNA from 1 species
UACGUAGGGUGCGAGCGUUGUCCGGAAUUAUUGGGCGUAAAGAGCUCGUAGGCGGCCUGUCGCGUCGGAUGUGAAAGCCCGGGGCUUAACCCCGGGUCUGCAUUCGAUACGGGCAGGCUAGAGUUCGGUAGGGGAGAUCGGAAUUCCUGGUGUAGCGGUGAAAUGCGCAGAUAUCAGGAGGAACACCGGUGGCGAAGGCGGGUCUCUGGGCCGUAACUGACGCUGAGGAGCGAAAGCGUGGGGAGCGAACAGG